AACGAACGCUGGCAGCAGGCUUAACACAUGCAAGUCGAGCGCCCCGCAAGGGGAGCGGCAGACGGGUGAGUAACGCGUGGGAAUCUACCCAUCCCUACGGAAUAGCUCCGGGAAACUGGAAUUAAUACCGUAUACGCCCUACGGGGGAAAGAUUUAUCGGGGAUGGAUGAGCCCGCGUUGGAUUAGCUAGUUGGUGGGGUAAAGGCCUACCAAGGCGACGAUCCAUAGCUGGUCGGAGAGGAUGAUCAGCCACAUUGGGACUGAGACACGGCCCAAACUCCUACGGGAGGCAGCAGUGGGGAAUAUUGGACAAUGGGGGCAACCCUGAUCCAGCCAUGCCGCGUGAGUGAUGAAGGCCUUAGGGUUGUAAAGCUCCUUCACCGGGGAAGAUAAUGACGGUACCCGGAGAAGAAGCCCCGGCUAACUUCGUGCCAGCCGCCGCGGUAA
rnacentral:rRNA from 1 species